rnacentral:tRNA from 1 species
GCCUGGCUGGCUCAGUUGGUAGAAUGUGGGACUCUUGAUCAUGAGGUCAUGAGUUAAAGCCCAUGUCAGGCA